GAUGAACGCUGGCGGCGUGCCUAAUACAUGCAAGUCGAGCGAACAGAUGAGGAGCUUGCUCCUCUGACGUUAGCGGCGGACGGGUGAGUAACACGUGGAUAACCUACCUAUAAGACUGGGAUAACUUCGGGAAACCGGAGCUAAUCCCGGAUAAUAUAUUGAACCGCAUGGUUCAAUAGUGAAAGACGGUUUUGCUGUCACUUAUAGAUGGAUCCGCGCCGCAUUAUCUAGUUGGUAAGGUAACGGCUUACCAAGGCAACGAUGCGUAGCCGACCUGAGAGAGGGAUCGGCCACACGGGAAGUGAGACACGGUCAAGACGACUACGGGAGGCAGCAGUAGGGAAUGGGCCGCAAUGGGCGAAAGCAUGACGGAGCAACGCGGCGUGAGAGAUGAAGGUGUUGGGAUCGGAAAACUCUGUUAUGAGGGAAGAACAAAUGUGUAAGUAACUAUGCACGUCGUGACGGUAACUAAUCAGAAAGCCACGGCUAACUACGUG
rnacentral:rRNA from 1 species